rnacentral:lncRNA from 1 species
GCGGGGCGCGCGGACAGCGCGCGGGGCCGGGGCGCGCCCCCGCGGGCCGGGGGCCUGGUCCUGGGGCCGGGGCCGGGACCGGGGCCGGGGCUGGGGCGAGCGGCCGGGAGAAGAGAGCGCGGCCGCCGAGGAGCGUCCCCGAGCGGCUCCCUGAGUCCCCGCCGGGCUCCGCUCCGGCCGGGCGGCGGCCGACAGCCGGCAGCUCGGCCCGACGGCAGCUCCUGGCUCCUGCCCCGGGCUGGACUCCGCGACUCGCUGCCCCGCGGAACCACGGCCUUUGCCGCUGGCAGGCGGCCGACACCGAACCGUCGCUGCCCGGAGACCGUCCCGCGGCGGGGGCGGGCGGUGCUGAGGGAGCCCGGCCCUGCUCGUGGCGCACCGGCCCGGCCGCACGGCGGGCAGACACACCUCGGGGCGGGCGCGGCGGGGGCGCACCGGUGCAGGAGACCCGCGGAGCCCUUCCCCGAGCGGCGGCCUCUCCCCAGAAGGGCUCUGCAGCCCGCGGCUCAGCCCGACGGAGCGCCCGGGGUGCCACCCGCCGUUCGGUGCUUCUCCCCCGACGGCCUCAGCCCCCGGGCCGGCUCCGCAGGCCGCCGAAGGGUCUGGGCCGUCGCGAGGGGACACUUGCAGCGUCGCCGGACCGGGAGCCGCGGCGGAGCGGCUCCGCAGCCCGGGAAGAGUGCACGUCGGGUGCGCUCGGCGAUGACUGAUGCAGCCCGCUCUCCCUCCCUCGGAAGGAUAAAUGUAAGCGAGCUGCAAAGUGUAGUUACUAAUAACAAUAACAAUAAAUUACCGUGCUGUUGCUCGGUAGCACAAACAAACGAUCGCCGUGAACCACGCGGUGUCUCCCCGCGCCUCGCAGCCGCCCCUCCCCGGGGACCGGCCCGUCCACCGCGGGCGGCUGGCGGGGACGGCCCGCCAACACCGCUGGGGCUCGGCCCGCAGCGGGCGGGGGCUUCACCUUGGCCCCGGGCAGGGACCCUUCUCGCCCGGCAGCCUCGUGGAGCAGGUGACCGGUCAGCGACGAGGCCGCAGCAGUGCCAGGGAGCAGGACCGGUGCUCAGGCGGCCCGGGGUGCAGCCGGCGGGUGGGUGGGUGGGUGGCCUGGAGCCGGCGCGGGCCCGCGCCCCGAGCCUGCAGUGAUCGGUGCCGG